AUUGAACGCUGGCGGCAUGCCUUACACAUGCAAGUCGAACGGCAGCACGGGAGCAAUCCUGGUGGCGAGUGGCGAACGGGUGAGUAAUGUAUCGGAACGUACCUUUCAGUGGGGGAUAACGUAGCGAAAGUUACGCUAAUACCGCAUAUUCUGUGAGCAGGAAAGCAGGGGAUCGCAAGACCUUGCGCUGAUUGAGCGGCCGAUAUCAGAUUAGCUAGUUGGUGAGGUAAAGGCUCACCAAGGCGACGAUCUGUAGCGGGUCUGAGAGGAUGAUCCGCCACACUGGAACUGAGACACGGUCCAGACUCCUACGGGAGGCAGCAGUGGGGAAUUUUGGACAAUGGGCGCAAGCCUGAUCCAGCCAUGCCGCGUGAGUGAAGAAGGCCUUCGGGUUGUAAAGCUCUUUCGGCCGGGAAGAAAUCGCACGGGUUAAUACCCUGUGUGGAUGACGGUACCGGAAUAAGAAGCACCGGCUAACUACGUG
rnacentral:rRNA from 1 species